GCCUUCGUGGUGCAGUGGUUUGCAUGCUGGACGCAUACUCCAGAGGUCUGUGGAUCGAUUCCCGGCGAAGGCA